rnacentral:rRNA from 2 species
CUCUGACUCUUAACAGCUAGCCCACAACCUAAAUUCAACAAACAACAUUAAUUAAACCCACACUCCGAACCCGCUAAACAGCCAAACCAUUUUACCACCCUAGUAUUAGGCGAUAGAAAAG